rnacentral:rRNA from 1 species
AUUGAACGCUGGCGGCAUGCCUUACACAUGCAAGUCGAACGGCAGCACGGGAGCUUGCUCCUGGUGGCGAGUGGCGAACGGGUGAGUAAUACAUCGGAACGUACCCUGAAGUGGGGGAUAACGUAGCGAAAGUUACGCUAAUACCGCAUAUUCUGUGAGCAGGAAAGCAGGGGAUCGCAAGACCUUGCGCUCUGGGAGCGGCCGAUGUCGGAUUAGCUAGUUGGUGGGGUAAAGGCCUACCAAGGCGACGAUCCGUAGCGGGUCCGAGAGGAUGAUCCGCCACACUGGGACUGAGACACGGCCCAGACUCCUACGGGAGGCAGCAGUGGGGAAUUUUGGACAAUGGGCGAAAGCCUGAUCCAGCCAUGCCGCGUGAGUGAAGAAGGCCU